rnacentral:rRNA from 1 species
GAUGAACGCUGGCGGCGUGCCUAAUACAUGCAAGUCGAGCGAACGGACGAGAAGCUUGCUUCUCUGAUGUUAGCGGCGGACGGGUGAGUAACACGUGGAUAACCUACCUAUAAGACUGGGAUAACUUCGGGAAACCGGAGCUAAUACCGGAUGAUAUUUUGAACCGCAUGGUUCAAAAGUGAAAGACGGUCUUGCUGUCACUUAUAGAUGGAUCCGCGCUGCAUUAGCUAGUUGGUAAGGUAACGGCUUACCAAGGCAACGAUGCAUAGCCGACCUGUGAGGGGGAUCGGCCACACUGGAACUGAGACACGGUCCAGACUCCUACGGGAGGCAGCAGUAGGGAAUCUUCCGCAAUGGGCGAAAGCCUGACGGAGCAACGCCGCGUGAGUGAUGAAGGUCUUCGGAUCGUAAAACUCUGUUAUUAGGGAAGAACAUAUGUGUAAGUAACUGUGCACAUCUUGACGGUACCUAAUCAGAAAGCCACGGCUAACUACGUG